rnacentral:rRNA from 1 species
GGCGUGCUAAUACAUGCAAGUAGAACGCUGAAGGAGGAGCUUGCUCUUCUGGAAGAGUUGCGAACGGGUGAGUAACGCGUAGGUAACCUGCCUGGUAGCGGGGGAUAACUAUUGGAAACGAUAGCUAAUACCGCAUAAGAUUGAAUAUCGCAUGAUAAUUGAUUAAAAGAUGCAAAUGCAUCACUACCAGAUGGACCUGCGUUGUAUUAGCUAGUAGGUGAGGUAACGGCUCACCUAGGCGACGAUACAUAGCCGACCUGAGAGGGUGAUCGGCCACACUGGGACUGAGACACGGCCCAGACUCCUACGGGAGGCAGCAGUAGGGAAUCUUCGGCAAUGGGGGCAACCCUGACCGAGCAACGCCGCGUGAGUGAAGAAGGUUUUCGGAUCGUAAAGCUCUGUUGUAAGAGAAGAACGAGUGUGAGAGUGGAAAGUUCACACUGUGACGGUAUCUUACCAGAAAGGGACGGCUAACUACGUGCCAGCAGCCGCGGUAAUACGUAGGUCCCGAGCGUUGUCCGGAUUUAUUGGGCGUAAAGCGAGCGCAGGCGGUUAGAUAAGUCUGAAGUUAAAGGCUGUGGCUUAACCAUAGUACGCUUUGGAAACUGUUUAACUUGAGUGCAGAAGGGGAGAGUGGAAUUCCAUGUGUAGCGGUGAAAUGCGUAGAUAUAUGGAGGAACACCGGUGGCGAAAGCGGCUCUCUGGUCUGUAACUGACGCUGAGGCUCGAAAGCGUGGGGAGCGAACAGGAUUAGAUACCCUGGUAGUCCACGCCGUAAACGAUGAGUGCUAGGUGUUAGGCCCUU